rnacentral:tRNA from 1 species
UAGUUCAUUUGGUAGAGUGCUUGCCUAGCAUGCAUGAAGCCCUGGGUUCAAUUCCCAG